AAGUUGGGAAAACUCGAAAUUGUGUGAAAACACUCCGCCCUUCGGGCGUCGUGUUUCCACACAAUUUCUCGUUUUCACAAUUUCCACUCGUGUUGAUAUAACUGUAUAUCAACACGGAAAAUGUUUUAUAUUUGUUAAUUAUAAUAUAGCAUUUGUAAAUUAUGAACGCUGAUUGGCUAAGAGCCGUGUUGAUAUAACUCAAUGUCAACACGGGAAAUUUUCCGCCGCUUCUAAACACC